rnacentral:rRNA from 1 species
UACAGGGGGGGCAAGCGUUGUUCGGAAUUACUGGGCGUAAAGGGCUCGUAGGCGGCCAACUAAGUCACACGUGAAAUCCCCAGGCUUAACCUGGGAACUGCGUGUGAUACUGGAUGGCUUGAAUUCGGGAGAGGGAUGCAGAAUUCCAGGUGUAGCGGUGAAAUGCGCAGAGAUCAGGAGGAACACCCGUAGCGAAGGCGGCACUCUGGGCCGAUACUGACACUGAGGAGCGAAAGCGUGGGGAGCGAACAGG